rnacentral:lncRNA from 10 species
UGGUUUUUGGGUAGAGCCCCUCACCCUCUCUGCAUGUUUCAAGCAUUUAUUUGUGCCAGGCACAAUGCGAACUACUGGGGAUAUGGCUGUCCCAGGUGAUGACAUCACAGUGGAGGGCUGGACCAGGUGCUGGAGGUCUGUCUUGAGCCCCCAGCUCUGAGAUGGAGCAAGGAUCCAGUCACUAGAGUGUUUCCAUCAGGACUCCCCAGGCCCUUCCAUGCUGUGACACCAAAGAUAGUUCCUGACAGCAUCCAAGCUCAUCAUCCUCCACAGAUACCAAGAGAGAGAUUAGUUUUCUAAACCCAUCGCAAAGUGAAGGGAUAGCUGAUUGUCAUCCCAUUUUUGAGACCUCAGUCAUCCUUCUGCGUGCAUCACCACAACUAAGAGGAAGGAAAGAGCACUGGAUGUGGAGUGAGGAGACAUGGAUUCUGUCACUACCCUGCUCUGCAGAACCCAAUAGUAUGUCAUUGAAACAAAACAAUACAAAACCCUGUCUACAAAAGAAGACUCAUAAGUCAACAAUAACUCGGGUUUCAUAAAGGAAGAAAGUCUUAGAGGAGGAAAAUCAACCCAUUCAAAUACAGGAGCAUCUGCUUAACACAAGACGGAACGAACCCCGCUGCCAGACCGGUGGUGUGGGCAGGCGAAUGUGUGCGUGUGCAUAGGAACAAGCCUAUAUAUGGAUGAGACAUUAGUGGCAACGAGAGGAGAGCCACCACGAUUGACAAAGCCACAACUAUUACGAUUUGAAAUAUCCCCCGCAGGCACUGACUUUUGGUGCCAGAAUCUCCCCGGAUUUAUUUUCAGGCAAGUGACUCACAACCUGGUCUCCAUAAGUAAUUCCAUUAAAAUGAGUCGCCGGUUCCACUAACCCGACUUUCCGCUGCCCUCUGGCUGCUCCUCCUUCCUCUCCGCCCAUCCUGCAAACCCAGACAGCUCACAGACCGAGCAACCUUAUCCCCAGGGGAGCAGACGGCAGGCUCUCUGGCCUGGCCCCCACCCUCGAGGAAGAAUGAAUGGGGCCGCGGGCGGGCGGGAGCGCAGGGAGGGGGCGUGCGGGCUGUGCGCGGGGUGUGUACGCGUGUGUGCGCGCGUGGGCACGCACCCCGGCCAACUUACGGAGGUGGAGUUGGUCCUCGCCUGGCCCUGGUUCCGUAC